UCCUUGGUGGCUCAGUGGUAAAGAAUCUGCCUGCAAUGCAGAAGACCAGGGUUCGAUCCUUGGGUCAGGAA
rnacentral:tRNA from 1 species